AGCCUAUUGAAGUAGAAUUUCUAAGUGGGUAUCAGAUACUGCAAAACACCCACAGAAAACCUGGACCAAUUGUACUUCCUUCUAGCUUUACCAGCCGGAUGAGCUUUAUUAGCAAGGAGUCAUAAGGAUCAAAAGUUUCAAGAUACUUCAAAAUGCUGAUGACUCAGAGAUCUCUAAAGACUAUUAUAUUUCUAAUUAUCUUUGUCUGUGCUUGUUUGGAUAUAUCUCAUGAAGCUCAAAAGAAAAGAACAGUGUCUGAAUACCAGUUUAUGCACGACAAAGGGAAGACCGUGCAGUCCUUGAAAAGAUUGAUGUGGUUAUACAAUAUCAUGGGUGGGGUACAUUCUGCCAAUGGCAGAGCUCCUUCCUACUCAAACAGUCUGUGGAAACUACAGAAGCGCCUGAUCCAUCCCCAUCUAUACAGAAAUGCAAGUGGGGUGAACACUUACAAUCUGGCAAAACAAAUAUUGAUUAGCCUAAUGAUUGAUGCCCAUCCUAUGAAAUUAUAAAAUCUGUUAGGACAGAAAUGAUUUCUUAUCCAAGUUUUGUACCUAGAAUAGUGCUCUGUUUAUAGGGAUUGAUUAAAAAAUGCUGGUUGAAUUGAGUGCAUUUGAAUGAUGAUAGAGCAUGUGUUUCCCACUAAUUUUUUUUUAAGUUUUUUAUUUUCAAAACAUAUGCAUAGUUUACAACAUUCACCCUUGCAAAACCUUGUGUUCCAAAUUUUUUCUCCCUCCCUUCUCCCACUCCCCUCCCCUGCACAGCAAGUAAUCCAAUAUAUAUUAUACAUGUGCAAUUUUUCUAUACAUAUUUCCACAUUUAUCAUGCUGCACAAGAAAAAUCAGAUCAAAAAGGGGGAAAAAAUGAGAAAGAAAAAAAUUCAGGCAAAUAAAAACAAAGAAAGUGAAAAUGUUAUGUUGUGAUCCACACUCAGUUCCUACAAUCUUCAAGGGUGUAGAUGGCUCUCUUCAUCCCAAGACCAUUAGAACUGGUCUGAAUCACUUCCCUGUUGAAAAGAGCCACAUUCAUCAGAAUUUAUCAUUGUAUAAUUUUGUUGUUGCCACUCACUUCACUUAUAGCAUCAGCUCAUUUAAGUCUUUCCAGACCUUUCUUGAAAUCUCUUUCUGAUAGUUUCUUAUAGAACAAAAAUAUUCCAUAACAUUCAUAUACCAUAACUUAUUCAGCCACUCUCCAACUGAUGGGCAUCUACUCAGUUUCCAAUUCCUUGCCACUCCAAAAAGGGCUGCCGCAAACAUUUUUGCACAUUUGGAUCCUUUCCCCUUUUUAAUAAUCUCUUUGGGAUAUAGUCCCAGUAGAGACACUGCUGGAUGAAAGGAUAUGCACAGUUUGAUAGCCCUUUGGGCACAGUUGCAUUUUGUUCUCCAGAAUAGUAGGAUCAGUUCACAGCUCCACCAACAAUGUAUUAGUGUCUCAAUUUUCCUACAUCCUUCUCCAACAUUCAUCUUUAUCUUUUCCUUACAUCUUAGCCAAUCUGAGAGAUGUGUAGUGGUACUUCAGAAUGUCUUAAUUUGCAUUUCUCUGACCAAUAGUGAUUUAGAGCACCUUUUCAUAUAACUAGAAUUUAAUUUCUUCAUCUGAAAAUUGUCUGUUCAUAUUCUUUGGCAAUUUAUCAAUUGGAGAAUGGCUUAUAUUUUUAUAAAUUUGAAUCAAUUCUCUAUAUAUUUUAGAAAUGAGGCCUUUAUCAGAAAUCUUGGAUGUAAAUUUUUCCCCCAGUUUACUAUUUCCCUUCUAAUUUUGUCUGCAUUGGUUUUGUUUGCUUGCAUAAAAUCUUUUUAACUUGAUAUAAUAAAAAUUAGCCAUUUUGCAUUACAUAAUGUAUUCUAGCUCUUCUUUGGCCAUAAAUUCCUUCCUUCUCCAUAGAUCUGAAAGAUAGACUAUCUUCUAAUUUGCUUAUAGUAUCACUCAUGUCUAAAUCAUGAAUCCUUUUCUAUUUCGUGUUUCUCACGUUAAUAAAGAAAAUAAUACAGGGCAUCUAGAUAUGACAGAAGUAUCUCCAUCAGUUGAACCUGGUGGGAAUAUUAGGAAGAAAAAAACUGUUAUGCUCAGAAAAGUAAGCCUUCCCCUGUACCAAGAGUACUUAAUCUUUAUGUUUAUUUGUUUUUCAUGGACCUCUUUGGCAAUGUGGUGAUUCUCAGAAUAAAUGUUUUUAAAAUGCAUUCACUCGGUGUAUCAUCUGGUAUAACUUUUCAUCUGAACUUUUCAUCAUUCUUCUGUUACCCUACCCAGGCAGCCUUCCAUUGUAAAUAAAGCUAAAAAGAAAGAUUAGUUCAGUAAAAAAUCAACUGACACAUAAUGCUAUAAAAUACAUAGGAUUGAAAAGGAAGGCAAUUAUAUUGAAAUACAAUUAUCAAAAUAUUAAAAAUACAAGUUUGACAAGUUAUAGUAUAUGAUUGUGAUAAAAUAUAAUUACAUUAUAAGAAAUGAUGGAAGGAAAUGGUUUACAAAAAACCUGGAAAGAUUUAUAAGCUGAUAAGCUGAUGCAAAGUGAAAUGAACAGAUAUAGGAGAACUUUAUAAUACAGAAACAGUGUUGUUGUAACAAUAAUUAACUGUGAAAGACUUAGGUACUCUGAUCAAUACAAUGAUCCACCCCAAUUUCAAGGACCCAUGAUAAAAAAAAAAGUUAUCUACUUUCAGAGAGAGAACUGAUGAACUGAGAGAUGGUUAAAGCAUUGUUUUUUUUCUCACUUUUUUUUUUUGCAACAUGGCUACUAUGGAAAUAUGUUUGCAUGACUCCACAUGUAUAAGAAGUAUCAUAUUGCUUGCCUUCUCAAUGGAUUGGGGGAGGAACAGGAAGGAAGAAGAAAAUUUGGAACUCAAAAUAAAAAUGAAUGCCCCAAAAUGUAAGAUUAGCAUUAUAAAUACAUAAAUCGCAUGUUAAACAAAACAUCUGUCCUGUGCUGAAAUGAGCAAAACUUCUUAUAAAUUUGAUUUUCCUAGGUUACAUAGAUAUCUGUUAAAUAUAGUGUAAUAAUUAAAAAACACUGUCAUGUUCAAGGAGCUGCACCCUCUACCUCCCUAUUAAGUCUGUGGUCUGGCUUGGGUUGACUUCAAGGGGAGUCUGACCAUUUUUACCCAUUUUUGUUUAGUUAUAUCCCCACUGUGGUGUCCUGAGAAGAAAUUUCUUAAAAAUUAGAUUUUCCUCACAUCUAAGAUCUCGCCAAAUGAGAGUAAAAUGGUACUCUGUGCACAAUAUAAAUCAGUUAUGGGACAGGUAUUUAUUUCCUCCAUACAAAAGAAAUGUUAAACACAAAAGGUUCUUACAAGUACAUAUUGAUAGAAAUUUAAACAUGUAGCAAGUAAUUACUGUUAUAGUAGGAGACUGGGAUUGCAAUAUUAGAACAUGAAACAGUUUGUGGAAUUGCUGAAUAGGCAAUGUUACAUUUCACUCCAAUUCUGCCCUAAAAGACUCUCUCUAGGUUCAAGUCUUCUGACAAAUCAGUCCAAGCUUGAGCAAUUGCUCUUUUUGAUGUUACUUAGUUUGAUAUUAAAUUCCUGAAGCUAGUCUACUCUGAGUGAGGACCUGAAACUUCUGAACACGAUAAUCUCACAAAGUUGCUUCCAAGAUUGGACAUACUUAGCCUGGGAUUGCUGUUCAAUAAUCUAUAUUCAGAAAAAGAACCACAAAAGGGAAAAGUCAGCCCAGGGCUCCAAAACCAACCCUCAGCUUACAUGAUUGAAUGACAUCUGGCUGCUCAAAUGAGAAGAGUUACAAUGCUGCGGGAGCAGAGAGAAGGAUGGUUUCUCCCCUAAUUCCUCAUAGGAGCAUUACUUUCCAGGUCAAAAGAAGAAGAGAAACAAGGUUUAUAAGCACUCCCUUUUAAAAUUUAAGUCUUUACAUGAAUUGAUGCAAAGUGAAAUGAGCAGAACCAGAAGAACAUUGUACACAAUAACACAAAAUUGUAUGCUGCUGUACUGUGAAGAACUUAGUUUUUCUCAGCAAUACAAUGAUCCAAGACAAUUCUGAAGAACUUACAAUGAAAGAUUCUGUCUAUUUAAAGAGAAAGAACUGGUAGAGCUCGAAUACAGAUCAAAACAUAUUUUUUCUUUAUUCUUGUUGGGUUUGUUUUUUUUGUUUUUUGUUUUUGGUAGUGGUGGGAAGGAGGGUAGUGCUGACUGUUUUCUUUCACAGCAUGACUUACAUGGAACUGUUUUGCAUGACUAUACAAAUAUAACUUAUGUCAAAUUGCUUGUCCUCUCAAUUGGGGUGGGGGUGGAAAGGAAGGGAGAAAAUUUUGGAAUCCACAAUUUGAAAAAUAACACAUUAAAACUGUAUUUACAUGUAAUUGGGGGAAUAAUAAAUUAUUAAAUUAAAAGUCAAGUCCUUCUUAGAGGUCAAUAA